rnacentral:tRNA from 1 species
GCCCCAUUCGUCUAACGGCAAGACACCGGCCUCCAAAACCGGCGAUGGGAGUUCGACUCUCUCAUGGGGUGCCA